GACGAACGUUGGCGGUGCGCUUCAUGCAUGCAAGUCGAGGGAGAAGCGUUGGUUCCGUAAGGUUCCGACGUGGAAACCGGCGAACGGGUGCGUAACACGUGAGAAACCUGCCCCUAAGACUGGGAUAGCCCAGGGAAACUUGGAUUAAUACCGGAUACUCUCUCCGGGCCGCAUGGCCUGGUGAGGAAAUGGUCCGCCGCUUAGGGAUGGUCUCGCGGCCUAUCAGCUUGUUGGUGAGGUAACGGCUCACCAAGGCUAAGACGGGUAGCUGGUCUGAGAGGACGAUCAGCCACACUGGAACUGAGACACGGUCCAGACUCCUACGGGAGGCAGCAGCAGGGAAUAUUGCACAAUGGGCGAAAGCCUGAUGCAGCGACACCGCGUGCGGGAUGACGGCCUUCGGGUUGUAAACCGCUUUCAGGAGGGAAGAAAAUGACGGUACCUCCAGAAGAAGCUCCGGCCAACUACG
rnacentral:rRNA from 1 species